AAAUUCUUAUUCAAUGUUUUUUUGAAAAUUGGGACGAAUCAGAGAAGAUUAGCAUGGCCCCUGCGUAAGGAUUACACGCAAAAUCGUGAAGCAUUCUACAUUCUC